GGGUGUGAGAGGGAGCUGGCCGUGCCAUCUGUCACUCUGUUGAUUGCCGUGGUUAUUUUGGCUAGUCUGGCUGGCCAGGCUGGUGUCCCCAUCCUCCUCAUCACUCCCUGUGUGUUCCUCCCAAAGCCACUCUGUUGGUUUGACCUUAAAAAUGAAGGGAGGGAGGGGACAUAGCACUAGGUGGGGUGACAGCAAGUGAAGGAAUGCUGAAAAUGUGAACAAGGGGGGAAACGGGAGCAUUUGCUUUGGUUUCUCUC
rnacentral:sRNA from 1 species